rnacentral:rRNA from 1 species
CAAUAGCGUAUAUUAAAGUUGUUGCAGUUAGAACGCUCGUAGUCGGAUUUCGGGGCGGGCCGACCGGUCUGCCGAUGGGUAUGCACUGGCCGGCGCGUCCUUCCUUCCGGAGACCGUCCCUACUCUUAACUGAGCGGGGGCGGGAGACGGGACUUUUACUUUGAAAAAAUCAGAGUGUUUCAAGCAGGCAGCUCGCUCUUGCAUGGAUUAGCAUGGGAUAAUGAAAUAGGACUUUGGUGCUAUUUUGUUGGUUUCGAACACCGAAGUAAUGAUGAGAAGGGACAGUCAGGGGCACUCGUAUUUUGCCGAGAGAGGGGAAAUUCUCAGACCAGCGAAAGACGAACCACUGCGAAAGCAUUUGCCAGGGAUGUUUUCACUGA